rnacentral:rRNA from 1 species
UACGCAGGGGGCUAGCGUUGCUCGGAAUCACUGGGCGUAAAGCGCACGUAGGCGGAUUGUUAAGUCAGGGGUGAAAUCCUGGAGCUCAACUCCAGAACUGCCUUUGAUACUGGCGAUCUUGAGUCCGGGAGAGGUGAGUGGAACUGCGAGUGUAGAGGUGAAAUUCGUAGAUAUUCGCAAGAACACCAGGGGCGAAGGCGGCUCACUGGCCCGGUACUGACGCUGAGGUGCGAAAGCGUGGGGAGCAAACAGG